ensembl:lncRNA
GACACACGAAGUCUGGAGCAAAACAAAAACACAACAGACUGUUCGAACUGCUCCUCUGACACAAACACUAAUAACCUACUGAGAAAAGAGACAGGAGAAACUGACUCUAUGGACUCAGACUCUGGUUUUGACCCUACGAAGAACGGAUCAAUGGAGAUUUCCUUCUACUGCUCAAGCACCAGCCUCCUGUAAAACAUAAUUUGAGGAACUUCCCUACAGCCAGCCUGGCAUGGUAUAUGAGGCGGGAGCCGUGAUGUCUUCUGCCCGGAGACGCCAGAGAAGAAAGAGACAACUGGAUCCAAGGAAGACAGUACUUGCUUCAGAUGAAAUGGAGUUGUGGAGGGG